rnacentral:rRNA from 1 species
AGUGAACGCUGGCGGUAGGCCUAACACAUGCAAGUCGAACGGCAGCACAGUAAGAGCUUGCUCUUACGGGUGGCGAGUGGCGGACGGGUGAGGAAUACAUCGGAAUCUACUUUUUCGUGGGGGAUAACGUAGGGAAACUUACGCUAAUACCGCAUACGACCUACGGGUGAAAGCAGGGGAUCUUCGGACCUUGCGCGAUUGAAUGAGCCGAUGUCGGAUUAGCUAGUUGGCGGGGUAAAGGCCCACCAAGGCGACGAUCCGUAGCUGGCCUGAGAGGAUGAUCAGCCACACUGGAACGGAGACACGGUCCAGACUCCUACGGGAGGCAGCAGUGGGGAAUAUUGGACAAUGGGCGCAAGCCUGAUCCAGCCAUACCGCGUGGGUGAAGAAGGCCUUCGGGUUGUAAAGCCCUUUUGUUGGGAAAGAAAAGCAGCAGGUUAAUACCCCGCUGUUCUGACGGUACCCAAAGAAUAAGCACCGGCUAACUUCGUG